GCAGACUCUGCUCUGUCCUCCUCUUCCUCCACACAAACACUCAUCUUCUGCACUUCAGUCAGUCUGAGAGGUGAAACAGUGACACUGACUGUGAGCUCAGAACACAAGAACCAGGAAACAAGUCUGAGAGAACAGUUUCAGGUUCCUCCUUGUUCUCAUGAACUUCGAUCACGGGAUAAGUGUUGUUCCUCUUCUCUCCAUUUACUGGAAAUCAUGUGUGUUUUGGAUCAGUUCCCUCCUUUCCCCCUCAUACUUCCGACAGUGUACCAUGACAUGUUCGACUGUCUCUUGUUGCCCACAGUAAUCUAAUCCAAAUCUAAGUCUUGAUAUGAUUGUCUCUUCUCUCCUGUUCCUUCCUGCACAUCUCAUUUCUCCUCUACCCACUGCACUGCUAACAAAAUUGCUAGCAUUUCUCCUGUGUACACUGAUACUUCAUCACUAAUCAUCUUCCCUAUUGUAAGAUGAAACUCUGGAACAAUAAAAGCUACUCCUAUCUUAUUAAUUAAACUAUUUGAUGCAUCUGUGUAGAUCUGGAUGUAACUGUUAACUAUUAAUAAAUGCCUGUAUAGUAUGUGAAUUCAAAAUAAACUCCCUGUCCGUGUUCUUCUUUUCUAAUAGUGUAAGAUCUACUGUGGCUUCAGGUAGUAAGGUGGUAAUGUUGGACUAAAGUUUAGUUAAUUCAAGUCCUGUAUUUGUUUCCUCUGUUUGACCUGCCUCUACUCUCAACACCUGGAUAACAUUGUCAGUAUCAACCCCUCCCCCUUUCUCCUUGUACUUUCUUCACUGCCUCCGCAUAACUUAUGUUGUUAACUGUUUAAACUUGCUGUAUUUCCACAGCCUUCUUCCUGACUUCACAUCCACCGUAUGUUAACGUGUUAGCCACCACAAUUACAACAUUUUUCCUGCACAUUUUCCAUACAUUCCUCCGCUCUCUGCUCACCUCCGCAUUUGGGACACCUCUGCUUCCCUUUGCAAACCUAUAAAGCUAUAUGCCCAUACCUCUCGCAUUUUUCUCUCACUUAUCAUUUUCUUGCAAACACUUUCCAAUUACAAGGCUUUAUUUUUCUGUUCCUCCGUUUGCGUGUUACCAACAAGCUUCAGUCUCUGAAAUUUUUUGCCAUUGCCACAUCUCCUAGCUUCUUUUUCAAUUCCCUAGACACCGGACACCAUCGGACUUAAACAAGCACACUCUUCUUCCUUUCUGAAUUUGAGAGUGAUUUUAUGUCCCCCCCCCUUUCUCUUCUACCUGAGUCGCCAUUCUGGUCCACGCAUAAACCAGUUUAUGUCAACCGCCAAGUCUGUGUGGGAAAAUAAUUAUUUCAUAAAUUAUUAUGUUCAAUUUAAAUGCAUUACAUGGUUAUUUCAUCUUGUUAAUUACAACUGAAUAACUGACUAAAACAUAAACAUUACAAUACUUUCAGUGCAGCCAUGGUGUGAGAACUAUGUGAGUAUAUACUAU